rnacentral:rRNA from 1 species
AUGAACGCUGGCGGCGUGCCUAAUACCUGCAAGUCGAGCGAACAGACGAGGAGCUUGCUCCUCUGACGUUAGCGGCGGACGGGUGAGUAACACGUGGAUAACCUACCUAUAAGACUGGGAUAACUUCGGGAAGCCGGAGCUAAUACCGGAUAAUAUAUUGAACCGCAUGGUUCAAUAGUGAAAGACGGUUUUGCUGUCACUUAUAGAUGGAUCCGCGCCGCAUUAGCUAGUUGGUAAGGUAACGGCUUACCAAGGCAACGAUGCGUAGCCGACCUGAGAGGGUGAUCGGCCACACUGGAACUGAGACACGGUCCAGACUCCUACGGGAGGCAGCAGUAGGGAAUCUUCCGCAAUGGGCGAAAGCCUGACGGAGCAACGCCGCGUGAGUGAUGAAGGUCUUCGGAUCGUAAAACUCUGUUAUUAGGGAAGAACAAAUGUGUAAGUAACUAUGCACGUCUUGACGGUACCUAAUCAGAAAGCCAUGGCUAACUACGUG